rnacentral:rRNA from 1 species
UACAGAGGUCUCAAGCGUUGUUCGGAUUCAUUGGGCGUAAAGGGUGCGUAGGUGGCGUGGUAAGUCGGGUGUGAAAUUUCGGAGCUUAACUCCGAAACUGCAUUCGAUACUGCCGUGCUUGAGGACUGGAGAGGAGACUGGAAUUUACGGUGUAGCAGUGAAAUGCGUAGAGAUCGUAAGGAAGACCAGUGGCGAAGGCGGGUCUCUGGACAGUUCCUGACACUGAGGCACGAAGGCCAGGGGAGCAAAAGGG